AAACCCAAUCAGGUCCUUAUUGAACUCUCCCCCAUGGGAAACCCAAUCAGCUCCAUAAUCUCUCCUUUAUUUUCCUGCAUGUCCAAUAGCAUAUAUUAAUAAACCUAUUAAUUAUUAAUUACAAUAUUUUAAACAAUAAACAUUUUACAAAAAAAACACUGAAAAUAGCAGACUUGCCAUAUUCACUUUCAACAGGACCCUACACAUAAAUAAGAGACUGUAGAAUUGUUCCGUCCUGUAAUAUUGUGGGAGGUUUGUCUUUUGCUAUCUGCCUUGUUUUGACUGUUACCACUUUUAGAUCCUGUGAUUGGACAUGCGACCGGUCGAUCUUCCCUGUGAACGUGAUGACGACACCCAUCUGUGAACCAAUAAGGCACCCUCAGUCUACUAUAAGGAAAUGACGCAAGACGAGAGAGCGCGUUUUUGCUUUGUUGAUAGCUCUCGCUUGUUUAUUACUGAAUCAGCGAUUAUGAUUUGUUAGUUGAUCUUGAGUUAUUUCUGAUCGCUCCCUUUACUCUACAUGUUGUAUUUGCUCGUCUCUGAUUUGACUCUGGCUGUUUGCCUGAUUGUGUUGUGAUGUGAUUCCCUUUCUCUCUUCAAGUGUUGAUGGCUGGAUUUAUCUCUUGACUCAUAGUGUUGAGACGAGGUGUGUAAAGUGUAUGUUCCAGAGUCAUUCCUCUCUGCACUGGGGCAUUGGCAGGUGCAGUCGUUGUCCCAGAGCUACAUAACACUGAUUACUCUCAUUAAAUCUACAGACAACAGGAUCCUGAACCAGCAAACCUGCAGAGGAAGAAAAAAAUCAGGAACAUUCUUAAAAUUUUACACACUGAUAUUAUUACACACCUCUUUAUCCUCUAAUAAAUGACACUCCAUUAUUACAGGAGAGCUGGAUUUAGUACUGUGCUACAGUUUUCAAUAAAGAAAUGAAAGUGGGGAAAAGUGAACAUAUUUGGGGAAAAUUACUAAUCACUAAGCAUCCUAAAAUUUUUGUGUGUGUGUGUGUGUGUGUGUUCUCCAAUUGAUUAUUUACUUUUUGAUUUUAUUUGGAAAAAUGGCAGCACAGGUGAUUAAAUGAUAAAUAAAUGAAAUCUCAACUAACUGUUGUGUAACUCUUUAUCUGAAGAUUGUGUUCACAAUGAAAUAAGCAUUUUUUUCCCCAACAUCAUCCUAAAGACACUUUUUGAUUAUAUACAAAGUAUGCAAAAUGACACAUUUGAAAUAGAUGAAACAUACAUUGGCAUAAAUAAUGCACAUAAAAAAAUCCAAUGAAAAAUACAUAUUGCUUUUUGUAGAGUCAUAUUGUAGUAGCAUAUUGCAUUUAAGUAUUGUGAUAUGAUUUUUGUCUUUAACUAGUUCCACCACACUUCAUAUGAGUUUAUGGUUAUUCAUGGUUUUUUUUCAGCUGUUUAUCUAGCUCCAGUUAUAAACAGUCAGGACCUAGCUGACCGCUUACUGGUUAAAAAUUCACACCCACAUUUUUAUUAAAACAGUUAUAAGACUGAAGUUGUCAUUAUUUACAGGAAUACUUGUUUUUGAGUUAUUAAGGUUUGGGAUAAGCAAAUCAGGAGAUGUCUAAAAACAAUGUCAUCAUAACUUCUAUGUUUGCUAAUGAGAGAACACCUUUUAACAUUAAACUAAAAGUUUUAAAGGAUGUCAUCGAUGUGUCUGUGCUUAGUGAAAAAUCAUUUGCAUAAAUAAAUGCAGAUAAAAAAUCAAGUAAAAUUGUUUUGUAAGAAUAUCAGCAAAACAUUCGCCUGUAGUAUCUUUCCUUAAAUGAAAAUUUUAUUAACUCAGGUUUUUGCACUUUUAAAGCAAAACUACUGUUGUGCUGGUGGUGUUUUAGCGAAAAUAUAUUGUGUUAGUAAAAGUAUAUUGUGAUACAUACAGUAUUGCAUAUUGUAGAAUCAUACUGUAGUAGCAUAUUGUGUUUAAGUACUGUGAUAAGAUAUUUUUGUCAGAUCACCCAUCGUUAAAUUGCACUGUGAAAACUUGCUUUACACUCCUUUAAAGCUGCAUGUUAACACUGAUGAUAGAAAAGAAAAGCAGUAGGCCAAUUCUGCAUGUCAACAUGCCAUUUUAAAAUAUAUAUUAGACCAUUUAGUGCCAGGGGAAGUCCUGUUUUUCUUAGGUUUUAUGGGUUAUUUUUCUACAACAUCAUUUCAUUGAUGAAGGCAUUCACAAAAAAAAAAAAAACAAAAAAAAAAACUUUUUUUGUACUUUUGAAGUGCAGGAAUUGUUCAUUAAAA